rnacentral:lncRNA from 1 species
CUCAAUGCUCUGGCUUGCUCUCUGGGACCUCACACCCUCUUACUCUCCACCCAGCAACCCAAAGGCUUCACUGAGUGUCUCUGGGAUGAACAAACUGAGGCUCAGAGAGCUUACAUCAUUCAUCCCAGGUUAGAACUGGUCAUUAGAGUGAGCCUUAACCCAACAUGACUGAUGUCACUAUAAAAGGAAGUCAUUUGGACACAGAUACGGACAUGCACAGAAGGAAGAUGCCGUGAACACAUGCAGGGAGCAGAUCACCACGUGAAGAUGGAAGCAGAGAUUACAGGUAUGUUGCCACAAGCCAACAAAUGCUUGGG